rnacentral:rRNA from 1 species
UACGUAGGGUGCAAGCGUUGUCCGGAAUUAUUGGGCGUAAAGAGCUCGUAGGCGGUUUGUCGCGUCUGCCGUGAAAGUCCGGGGCUCAACUCCGGAUCUGCGGUGGGUACGGGCAGACUAGAGUGAUGUAGGGGAGACUGGAAUUCCUGGUGUAGCGGUGAAAUGCGCAGAUAUCAGGAGGAACACCGAUGGCGAAGGCAGGUCUCUGGGCUGAUACUGACGCUCAUGCACGAAAGCGUGGGGAGCAAACAGG